rnacentral:rRNA from 1 species
AACGAACGCUGGCGGCAUGCCUAACACAUGCAAGUCGAACGAGACCUUCGGGUCUAGUGGCGCACGGGUGCGUAACGCGUGGGAACCUGCCCUUAGGUUCGGAAUAACUCCCCGAAAGGGGUGCUAAUACCGGAUAAUGUCUUCGGACCAAAGAUUUAUCGCCGUUGGAUGGGCCCGCGUUGGAUUAGCUAGUUGGUAGGGUAAAAGCCUACCAAGGCGACGAUCCAUAGCUGGUCUGAGAGGAUGAUCAGCCACACUGGGACUGAGACACGGCCCAGACUCCUACGGGAGGCAGCAGUGGGGAAUAUUGGACAAUGGGCGAAAGCCUGAUACAGCAAUGCCGCGUGAGUGAUGAAGGCCUUAGGGUUGUAAAGCUCUUUUACCCGGGAUGAUAAUGACAGUACCGGGAGAAUAAGCACCGGCUAACUCCGUG